AACGAACGCUGGCGGCAGGCUUAACACAUGCAAGUCGAACGCCCCGCAAGGGGAGUGGCAGCCGGGUGAGUAACGCGUGGGAAUCUACCGUACCCUACGGAACAACAGUUGGAAACGACUGCUAAUACCGUAUACGCCCUACGGGGGAAAGAUUUAUCGGGGUAUGAUGAGCCCGCGUUGGAUUAGCUAGUUGGAGGGGUAAAGGCUUACCAAGGCGACGAUCCAUAGCUGGUCUGAGAGGUUGAUCAGCCACAUUGGGACUGAGACACGGCCCAAACUCCGACGGGAGGCAGCAGUGGGUAAUAUUGGACAAUGGGCGCAAGCCUGAUCCAGCCAUGCCGCGUGAGUGAUGAAGGUCUUAGGAUUGUAAAGCUCUUUCACCGAUGAAGAUAAUGACGGUAGUCGGAGAAGAAGCCCCGGCUAACUUCGUGCCAGCAGCCGCCGUAA
rnacentral:rRNA from 1 species